rnacentral:rRNA from 1 species
ACACGUAGGAACCGAGCGUUGUCCGGAAUCAUUGGGCGUAAAGAGCUCGUAGGCGGUUCAGCAAGUCGGCUGUGAAAGUUCGAGGCUCAACCUCGAAAUUGCAGUCGAUACUGCUGUGACUUGAAUUCGGUAGAGGAGAAUGGAAUUCCCGGUGUAGCGGUGAAAUGCGCAGAUAUCGGGAGGAACACCAGUAGCGAAGGCGGUUCUCUGGGCCGAUAUUGACGCUGAGGAGCGAAAGCGUGGGGAGCAAACAGGAUUAGAUACCCCGGUAGUCC